rnacentral:tRNA from 1 species
GCCCCAGUGGCGCAAUUGGUUAGCGCACGGUACUUAUAAUGCCGAGGUUGUGAGUUCGAGCCUCACCUGGGGCA